GGAAUGUAGUUCAGUGGUAGAUGUUUGCCUAGCAUGCCUGAGGCCUUGGGUUUGAUCCCCAGCACCA
rnacentral:tRNA from 1 species